rnacentral:lncRNA from 1 species
UUAGAGUUCUUAAUAUUAUUUAAUAUUAUAACUUAUGCGGGGGUGCAUGAAGAAAAAAGAAGGUGAUCUUACAUACAAGAACUAAUAUAUUUGUUUCCAAUACAAGAACUAAUAUAUUUGUUUCCAAUAUAAAAAUAUAUAUUUAGUGGAUUGAUUAUUUUUUGGAUACACUUGUCUAGAAAAAAUCAACUACAAAACACA